CAGUAAAAAAAAAAAAGAUAAAAAAUGGAAUACCGGUAUAAAGUACUUAUCAUGAAUGGAUUGUAUAAGACUGGAAGUUGCUGUGGGUGAAUCAGCGAAUGAUGAGUGAAUGUGAAGGCCUAAGACAUUGCUGUAUACUACCAGAUACUUUAUAAACACUGUACACUUGUGCUAUACUAAAUUUAUUAAAAAGUAUUUUUCCUUCUUCAAUAAUAAAUUAACCUUAGCUUACUGUAACUUUUUACUUUAUAAGACUUUUAAUUUUGAGCUGCCAUCUUGCAUCCCCAUGUGUGUCCACCUAAUCUCAGCUGGUGGUCCACCCAAGACCCCCGAGCACCAACCCUAGCCCCCCACGUGGCCCCUUGUCCGCUCCGAGAAGAUGAAACAAACAAUUAUGAGCCAGGAAAAACUUGCCAAACUGCAGGCACAAGUGUGCAUUGGUGGGAAAGGAAUGGCUCACAGAAAGAAGAAGGUGGUUCAUAGAACAGCCACAGCAGAUGAUAAAAAAACUUCAGUUCUCCUUAAAGAAGUUAGAGGUAAACAAUAUCCCUGGUAUUGAAGAGGUGAAUAUGUUUACAAACCAGGGAACAGUGAUCCACUUUAACAACAGAGAUGGCAGCAAACACUUUCACCAUUACAGGCCAUGCUGAGACAAAGCAGCUGAUGGAAAUGCUACCCAGCAUCUUAAACCAGCUUGGUGCAGACUGACUAGUUUAAGGAGACUGGCUGAAGCUCUGUCCAAACAGUCUGUGAAUAGAAAAGCACCACUUGCUACUGGAGAGGAUGACGAUGAAGUUCCAGAUCUUGUGGAGAAUUUUGAUGAGGCUUCCAAGAAUGAGGCAAACUGAAUUGAGUCAACUUCUGAAGAUAAAACUUGAAGAAGUUACUGGGAGCUGCUAUUUUAUAUUAUGACUGCUUUUUAAGAAAUUUUUGUUUAUGGAUCUGAUAAAAUCUAGAUCUGUAAUAUUUUUAAGCCCAAGCUCCUUGGACACUGCAGCUCUUUUCAGUUUUUGCUUAUACACAAUUCAUUCUUUGCAGCUAAUUAAGCUGAAGAAUCCUGGGAAUCAAGUUUGAAACAAAGGUUAAUAAAGUUCUUUGCCUAGUAUA